AUGCGGACUUUAUUCAAACAUUCGAACAUUUAUGAAACCCACACCGUGUGGGCUAGGAAAGGAGCCGGGGAACUGAAAUGCACAGAAAUAGAGCCCCAUCUCGCCUGGAGGUUCCUAGCCUGGAAGAAUGAGAGGAGGUCUGGCUGUCUGCACGCGGAAGACCGAAGCGAGAGAAGUAUGAACCAGGGCAGCUGUCUGGGUUGUUGUAACUUCAUCAGAGUUCCUAAAGCAUCACCAAGUUCAAUACAAAUGUUGCCUUCCUGUACCUACAAGAGCGACUCAUCGGUCGGUGUCGAGACUGGUCUCUCUACGUCCCUGGAGAAUGAAGACUCUUGGCUAUGCCUAAGAAGUUGUCUGCUGAAAUCUGAUUUUUCUUUGAAAGUCUGCAAAAGAAAUGACCCAGGAAGUACUUUCAGAAAAGCUAGUUACUAGGGGCACCUGGGUGGCUCAGUGGGUUAAGCCUCUGCCUUUGGCUCGGGUCACGAUUUCGGGGUCCUGGGAUCGAGCCCUGCAUCGGGCUCUCUGCUCAGCAGGGAGACUGGUUCCCCCCUCUCUGCCUGCCUCUCUGCCUACUUGUGAUUUCUGUCAAAUAAAUAAAUAAAAUCUUUAAAAAAGAAUAAUAAUAAAUUAAAUAAAAUGAGGAGACCCAAGUCUGCCUCAAGGAAAUUUUUCUCCACAGUAUAGGUCAAGUUUUUAAUAUUAUACUUCCUGUCACUAGAAAGUGUACUAAACUGACACAAAUUCAGAGUCCCCUGAACAAGCCAAUCCGGUAAGAUACUAAGUUGCUGAGGUUAUGUCAGUGUCAGUGGCUCAGACUCAAGAGGAGGGUAUCCUGAGGCCAGCUUUCCACGAAUCUCUCCCCAAGUGACUCACUCAGUGAAGAGAAUUCGCUCUUCCAUAUCACUGGGUAUGUUUCUGUCCAUGCUGUAUAGACCACUGUUUUAGGAUACUCUAAUUCGGGAUAAAUCCACUUUCCAAAGGACUAGGGCACUUGGAGUAAUAGACUUUAAAUGGCUCUAUCUGGGGGCACCUUGGUGGCUCAGUGGGUUAAAGCCUCUGCCUUUGGCUCGGGUCUGCCUUUGAUUUCGGGGUCCUGGGAUCGAGCCCCGCAUUGGGCUCUCUGCUCAGCAGAGAGCCUGCUUCCCUUCCUCUCUUCUGUCUGCCUCUCUGCCUACUUGUGAUCUCUGUCUGUCAAAUAAAUAAAUAAAAUCUUAAAAAAAAAAAAUAAAAUAAAAUAAAUGGCUCUAUCUGAACAGAAUCCCUUGGGAUGGUAUUACUGGUAUUAGCUUCCUCGCAUCUUUAAGAGAAAAGUGUCAGCACGUCUAGAUCUACCCAGAGUAAAUGUAACAAAACCUCCAUUUAAAAUGUUUUUAAAAAUCAAUUAGGUUCUGAAUAUUAAAGUAGCUGUAUAUAUAGGAACAAAAAAAAGUUUGACAAAACUUUACAAACAAAAAUGUGUCAUCACAAAUGCCACCUGAAAUUCUAGAUCUCAAAUUUGAAACAGACUUCAAUUAAUCUCCAUGGACAAGGAGAAAGAAUUUUUCUCACAUACAAUGUCAAAAGCAGAAAUAUUUUUGGGGUGUCUGGGCAGCUCAGUUAGUUGACAGCUGACUCUUGGUUUUGGCUCAGGUCAUGAAACCAGGGCACGUCUGCUUGAGUCUCCUUUCUCCUUCUACCCCUCCUCCUACUGCACCACUUGGCACGCGCAUUCUCUCUCUCAAAUAAAUAAGUCUUUUUUAAAAAGAUAGAAAUACCAAAAUAUAUACUUUCACCAUGACAGCAUCAAAAUUGACGUGAUGAAGAACUACUACCCAAAGGAAAGUCACUGUUUACUCAGGAAAAAAAAUAAAUAAAUAAAAAUAAAAGGUCAAGGACAGCAGUAGGUGGUUUAUUUCGAGGAGCACAGACACCUGCUUAGACAAUACCAAGUAGACAGAGAUUCUGUAAAAUCACACAUUCAUCUGCUAUUUCUGAAACAGGUUCUCUGAAUUAGGAGGGGUUCUCCCCCAAAAUUGGGUUGAAAAGCAGGAGUCUAUGACAUAAUUAACAAAAGAGGAGCUCCAACAUCACAGUGUCAAGUUGGACAGUCAAGUUAAUACAAAAGAUUUUCAUGAGGAAGGAAAAGUGCCCACAAUGGACAGUUUUACUGAACUUUGAAUCUCUAAAAUGCAAGUCCAAAAACUGCCACAAAACCAGGUUUACCGAUGGAGGCAUAUCUGCCUCAAUCACCAGCCAUAAUCUAUCUAACUCUGUUUCUGUUGCGAAAAUGAAAUUACUAAGGAACUAUUCUGUUCAUGGCUCCUUCCAGCGACGGCAUUCUGAACCCAAGAAGUAAGAAUGUAA
rnacentral:lncRNA from 1 species